UAAGUAUUAAACUUUCAGCGAAAAUAAGAAUCGGAGGAUAAAAACUGAGAAAAUAACAAGUUGUUAAUUUAAGUUUCAUGAAAGUUGUCAGUUGUCAACUUUAUGCGAGACUGUCGGCGUGCACAUACCACACAUGCGUUUAUAAUGAUGGGAUUUAAAUGUUUCGUAAAACUAAACAACUAAACCGGUGUGCUCUUUUAUCAUUAAAUAAGGACUAUUUGACACUCAUAAUGAGGAAGGACACAAUAUUAUACUCAAGAGGUGAAUAAGUCAUAUUGCAGCCCUGUUGCAUCAGCUCUACAGACCGCAGAGAAGACUCGUUGGAUGUCGUCAGUCUGUCGCUGCUUCAUUGGCUCGGUUUUCCUACAGAACGGCCCUUCAUUAUUGUCCUGAUGGUAUUGAUUAUUUGUCAUUUUGUAUAUACACACACUUUUAAAUGGAAGUAAUAUAUAAUAAUAAUAAUAGUACUAGUAGUAGUAUUAGUAGUAAUAGUAAUAAUAAUAAUAAUAAUUAUAAUAAUAAUAAUAAUAAUUAUUAUUAUUAUUAUUAUUAUUAUUAUUAUUAUUAUUAUAAUAAAUUGACUGUUUCAUCUUAUAUAACCUUUCACAGCCAGUAGUGCACUGUAAACACAAUGCUCUUUUAAGAUGUAAAAAUCUAGAAAUUUUAGCACCAUAACAGAAACCAUACCACCCAUAUACCAAGUUUCUCUGUCAUUAAGGAAUAUGUUUUUCUAAAGAAAAAAAAAACUGUUAUGCACUACAGUGUGUUGCUCUAGAAGUUACUUUUUUCUGGGAAUAAAAGAAGGGUUUCUUCCUUGAGGAUGCGGCAUUUUGUCUGAGAAAGUUCGCCGGAGUCGCAAAGAUUGUGGUCCUGAUGCAAUCUUCAUGACUGUGGCAGUAAUGGAGAUGGAGAGCUUGCUGAUGCUCUGUGAGUCUCCAAGGAAGACUCUGACACCUCACUGCUUUAAUUGGUCCAAGGAGGCUUGUUUGUGCAGAUUGAGAGCAGCGCUGCAAGAGAAACACAUGGUACCUCACUUGGGUCUUUAUAGUUGUUAGCACAUCUUAAGCCUGUUUUUUGUGUUGAUGUCUGAAAAUAGGGACAGCAUGGUUCGUAAAAAGUGUACAAUUAUCAAAACUGUAAGCGCUAAGGGAGAACAGUCUGACCAAAUGCCACUCUGCCAAACUCCAAACCUUUCAUAUUUGUAAGUGAGCAUGUCCUCUUACAAACAUUCAUUCGUAUAUGAAAUUUGUGAUCCUAAGUGUAAUUUAAAUUAUUUAAAUUCAUCUGCAAUGUACAACUGUAUUAUACAAUGGCAGAAAACUGGAAAACUGAUUUCCAUGUCAAAAAAUAACAAUUAUUUGUUUUCACACAAAUGGGUAGCAUCAAUAAAAAAUAAGUCUUCCUUGG